rnacentral:ncRNA from 2 species
GGUCAUGAGCGCCAGCAUCGAGCCCCGGCUUGCUGGCCGGCAACCCUCCUCCGCGGUGGGGUGCCCCGGGUGAAGACCAGGCACCGGAGCAAGGCUCCCGUGCAAGCGUGGCCU